ensembl:lncRNA
CCCCCCCCUCUCCCUUCAGUGCCAGCUACUGUGCUUUAAGUGGUGCACUAAUUCAACCCUUUUGUUAGCCUUAUACAUCUCUCCAAUCUCUCCCUCUCUCAUUCCUGUCUUUCGAGUUAGCGCUGUGCAUCUAGGUUCAGUUGUUGUUUUAUGAAAACACUUAUAUACUCCACUGUCUGGGUGAAGAGGGUGAUAAUCAUGUUUAAUUGUGCUUUUUGUAUCCAGGCAACGUGAACAUUUCUGCAAUCAUUUGAUUGUUAACUGAUUUUUGCGGGCGGUAAUAGUCCAUUAGGGCAUGGUGGCGACUGCAGAGCAGGGGAGUCACGGGGAGAGAAGGUCACUCUCCUCCUCGUUUUCCAUCCUCAUUUUUAGCAAAGUCAUGAAUAAUUGAUGGAAAGCAUCUGAGUGGGCAAAUGUCAUGACAUUCCAGCCACAAGUGUGGGAACUACCCCAUGCCAGCUUAUAUGCCCGAGUCCUGGCUGGCUCAUGCCAGCGCGGCGGCGGCGGCGGUGCCUAUACGAAAGAGAGGAGAUGGGCAUCAAACGGGAGAGGAGCUUUUACAGAGAGAUUGGUUUCAGCUCUCCUGGUUCCCAUUUUCAAAAUGGAGGGAUGGUGUGCUAGGAGCUCAGAAACUGAAUAUGAGGCAGCAGCCCUUGGCGAAGUAAGUAAGUGGUUGGACUGUGUGCGGGGCGAAAGUUCAUUUACAAUUAAUGUUAACCUAUGUUUUCACUUUGUGACUUUGUCUAAAUAGAAGAGAUGAGUUCCAUUAUGUCAAAGUAAUAAUAAUGGUAAAUUAAAGUUUAUAUGAAGUAACUUGACUUCGUAUGACCACAUUACCCAGAAUUAUGUAUAGUACAGUACUUGCAUGUACAGCAUUGCUGUGCCCACUAUAUUGUUGUGCUUCUGUGGGCAUGAAAGCAUGUUCCAUACCUAUCAUUUGGAAGCAUUUUUUACCCUCCUCCUCUUUUUUUGUGACAAUUGAGUCCAGAUGCAUAGGAUUCCUCCUUUUUUUUUUUUCAUGCGGUCUGUUUCCUAAAAUAAAAAAAAAAUGCUUGCAUGUAAUGUCUGUGGCGGCAUUCUCGUGCCUCUGUGGCUGGGUUCGCUGGUGUGAGGGAGUCUGAGUCUUCAAAUAGCUAUGUGGCUGGCACAGUGGGCGUCCUUUAUGUCCCCCUUCUGUCCCAUUGAAUUUCAGAGCACAAACAAGUCCCUUCUUACCUCCCUCAGCCCCUCUCCAUUGGACUGCUAUGCCUGCAAGUAUUCAUCCUCUUCAAACACAUCUUUGGCAUGUAACUUCCAUCCUCCGUUUUGGAUUCAUCCUCACCAUGGCAUCACAUUUACUAUUUAAAUUUGAACAUCAGUCGUGAUUUUAAUCCCUGCUUCUAAUCACUCUCUGUAUCUAUCACCCCCCCCCCCCUCUCUCCUCCUUCCUUACUUUCUUUCAGAUGGAGUAGUGUGAGAGAUGAGGGUCUUUUCUUUCCGGCACUACAGAGGAAGGUCUGUGGGCUGAGAUUUCAUUUUGGAGGGUUGCAUGACUGAAAUGGGAAUGUGGUCAUUAUGAAGAGACCCCUACAGAAACAGUUCUACAGGAGAUGAAAAGAGGGAAUGAAUGGAGGAAGAGAGAGAUACCGUGGAAGAAGAGGACACUGACUGUCAUACAACACGAACCGCUGUAUUUGAGCGAAGAAAUUCAGUGGAUGCCUGGGUAUGGAUGUUCCAUUCUACGGGGCCGCCUGCGUACGAUCGAACGAGCGAGAGAGGAGAGGAGAGGAGAGGAGGGAGAGGGAAAGGAGGAACAAGGCGAAAGAGCACUUGCUCUGUUGCACCGAUUCACAACUGUGCGCAGGAUAUUGACCGUACAGCUGUUCUACUCGAACUCUCCCUCCCUCCCUCCCUCCCUCCCUCACUCACUCUCUCCCUCACUCUCUCCCUCCCUUCCCAUCCCUCUUUGCGCAUUUCUUUCACCCUGCUUCCUGUGCGUCUCCUCUGUUUUUCAUCUCUUUUUUUUUCUCCUGUAUCCUUCUCUCCCUGCUGGUCUCCGGUCUGUCUCUUUUUCCCCUUUAUUAGAACCUCCCUCUAGUCUGUCCUCAUCUGUGAUCCCCCACCCCUCCGUUCUCUCUCCCCUGCUAUGCCCUCUAGGAUGCACACACACACACACACACACACACACACACACACACACACACACACACACACACACACACACACACACAGACACACACACACACACACACACACACACACACACACACACACAGACACACACACACACACACACAGACACACACACACACACACACACACACACAC